rnacentral:rRNA from 1 species
GUUAGGGCACGACACCGGAGAGGGAGCCUGAGAAACGGCUACCACAUCCAAGGAUGGCAGCAGGCGCGCAAAUUACCCAAUCCCGACACGGGGAGGUAGUGACAAUAAAUAACAAUACGGGGUUCUUUCGGAUUUCGUAAUUGGAAUGAGUACAAUUUAAAUCUCUUAACGAGGAACAAUUGGAGGGCAAGUCUGGUGCCAGCAGCCGCGGUAAUUCCAGCUCCAAUAGCGUAUAUUAAAGUUGUUGCAGUUAAAAAGCUCGUAGUUGAAUUUCGGGACCAUCAUGUCGGUCGUGCCUCGGUACGUACUGGCAUUGUUGGUUUCUCCCUUCUGACGAACCAUGAUGUCAUUUAUUUGGUGUUGUGGGAAAUCAGGACUGUUACUUUGAAGAAAUUAGAGUGUUUAAAGCAGGCUCACGCUUGAAUACAUUAGCAUGGAAUAAUGAAAUAGGACGUUUGAUUCUAUUUUGUUGGUUUCUAGGAUCGACGUAAUGAUUAAUAGGGAUAGUUGGGGGCAUUAGUAUUCAAUUGUCAGAGGUGAAAUUCUUGGAUUUAUUGAAGACUAACUACUGCGAAAGCAUUUGCCAAGGAUGUUUUCAUUAAUCAAGAACGAAAGUUAGGGGAUCGAAGACGAUCAGAUACCGUCGUAGUCUUAACCAUAAACUAUGCCGACUAGGGAUCARAUGAUGUUAAUUUUUUAAUGACUCAWUCSGCGCCUACGGAAC